rnacentral:rRNA from 1 species
UCCGGUGACGAUAGGGCGGGGGAAACACCUCUUCCCAUUCCGAACAGAGAAGUUAAGCCCCGCACCGCCGAUGGUACUGCCGGGUUACCCCGGUGGGAGAGUAGGUAGUUGCCGGAC